rnacentral:rRNA from 1 species
AGUGAACGCUGGCGGUAGGCCUAACACACGCGAGUCGAACGGCAGCACAGUAAGAGCUUGCUCUUACGGGUGGCGAGUGGCGGACGGGUGAGGAAUACAUCGGAAUCUACUUUUUCGUGGGGGAUAACGUAGGGAAACUUACGCUAAUACCGCAUACGACCUACGGGUGAAAGCAGGGGAUCUUCGGACCUUGCGCGAUUGAAUGAGCCGAUGUCGGAUUAGCUAGUUGGCGGGGUAAAGGCCCACCAAGGCGACGAUCCGUAGCUGGUCUGAGAGGAUGAUCAGCCACACUGGAACUGAGACACGGUCCAGACUCCUACGGGAGGCAGCAGCGGGGAAUAUUGGACAAUGGGCGCAAGCCUGAUCCAGCCAUACCGCGUGGGUGAAGAAGGCCUUCGGGUUGUAAAGCCCUUUUGUUGGGAAAGAAAAGCAGCAGGUUAAUACCCCGCUGUUCUGACGGUACCCAAAGAAUAAGCACCGGCUAACUUCGUG